rnacentral:rRNA from 1 species
UACGAAGGGUGCUAGCGUUGUUCGGAAUCACUGGGCGUAAAGCGUGCGUAGGCGGCUCGUCAAGUCAGGGGUGAAAUCCUUAAGCUUAACUUAAGAAUUGCCUUUGAAACUAGCGAGCUGGAGUAUUGGAGGGGAGUGCGGAAUUCCUAAUGUAGAGGUGAAAUUCGUAGAUAUUAGGAGGAACACCGGUGGCGAAGGCGGCACUCUGGACAAUUACUGACGCUCUGGCACGAAAGCGCGGGGAUCAAACAGG